rnacentral:rRNA from 1 species
GAGCCCGCGGGCUCGCCAAAGCUUCUCGUCGCCAACCUGGCAGCCUACUCCAUCGGCUUCGUCGACCGGGUGGCCACGGUGGGCCCUUCCCACACUCCCUUCACUGACGCCUCAAGUUUUCUGCAAUCACUCAUCGACCUCAAGCUUCUAAUCUCCUGCCCUUGGGUGAUCAUAGGCGACUUCAACAUCCCUCUUAGACCUUCAGACAAGUCUUCUCCUAAUUUUAACAUGCUAGAAGCAAACCUUUUCUCCUCCGCCAUCCAUUCCCUGCAGACGCAAGACCUCCCUCUGCCAGAUAGGAGAUACACUUGGUCAAACCAACAGAAUGUGCCCAUUCUGGUUCGCUUGGAUUGGGCGCUGGCCAACGUCGAAUGGGCCUCUAGGUUUCCGGAUACUUCACUUUCGUCAACCACUCGGACAACCUCCGACCAC